rnacentral:rRNA from 1 species
UACGUAGGUGGCAAGCCUUAUCCGGAUUUACUGGGCGUAAAGGGUGCGUAGGCGGAUUUUUAAGUGAGAUGUGAAAUACCCGGGCUCAACCUGGGGGCUGCAUUUCAAACUGGAAAUCUAGAGUGCAGGAGAGGAAAGUGGAAUUCCUAGUGUAGCGGUGAAAUGCGUAGAGAUUAGGAAGAACCCCAGUGGCGAAGGCGACUUUCUGGACUGUAACUGACGCUGAGGCACGAAAGCGUGGGGAGCAAACAGG